rnacentral:rRNA from 1 species
UACGGAGGGGGCUAGCGUUGUUCGGAAUUACUGGGCGUAAAGCGCGCGUAGGCGGGCUGUUAAGUCGGGGGUGAAAUCCCGGGGCUCAACCCCGGAACUGCCUUCGAUACUGGCAGCCUAGAGGAUGGCAGAGGCCAGUGGAAUGGCGAGUGUAGAGGUGAAAUUCGUAGAUAUUCGCCGGAACACCAGUGGCGAAGGCGACUGGCUGGUCCAUUUCUGACGCUGAGGCGCGAAAGCGUGGGGAGCAAACAGG